CAUCAGCAUUGUUAGCCUCGGCGUUGUUGGUGGGGUUCCGGCGUAUCGGAGGCAUCUGUUUAGGGUAGCAUAGAUGAGGAAACAGAUAGAAAAGAGCUAAGGAUAACUAAACCCCCAAACAAGAUAUAACUCAAGCAUAUAUCAAUCAUACACUCAUCAAUCAUAAAAGGUUUUGAAAAAUCAUAGCAAAACACACUUGUUUAUGGUGGGACAUUGCCCAUAAAGAAAAGAGUACGAGAAAAAAGCAAUCGACCUACAUUGCCAUACACAUAGAUUGUAUGGUCAAUGACUAACUCGCAAUACUGAUAAUGAAAAGAAAAAAAGGAACAAAAAUAAGUCUGGUAGGCAUCAACAGAUCUAAGGGAGUGUGGCUGUCGGUGUGGUCCCAUUCGCCUUCAUCUUGGAGCGGGUGUUUGUAGCAGGGGUGUCCAUCUCGUGGACCUCCUGGGGCUCCUCCUCAGUCGGUUCCUCCUCCUGAGGCUCCAUCUCCUGAUCCUGUGGCGGAGGUGGGAACUGGACAGGCGCCGGUGCGGCAGCUGGUGCUGCUGCGGCUGCGGCUGCUGCGGCUUCGACUACCAUGAAAGCCUUAAACCGCUCGUUGUAGUAGCGGGCCUGCUCACUC
rnacentral:lncRNA from 1 species